AUUGAACGCUGGCGGCAUGCCUUACACAUGCAAGUCGAACGGUAACAGAUCUUCGGAUGCUGACGAGUGGCGAACGGGUGAGUAAUACAUCGGAACGUGCCUAGUAGUGGGGGAUAACUACUCGAAAGAGUGGCUAAUACCGCAUGAGAUCUACGGAUGAAAGCAGGGGAUUGCAAGACCUUGUGCUACUAGAGCGGCCGAUGGCAGAUUAGGUAGUUGGUGGGAUAAAAGCUUACCAAGCCGACGAUCUGUAGCUGGUCUGAGAGGACGAUCAGCCACACUGGGACUGAGACACGGCCCAGACUCCUACGGGAGGCAGCAGUGGGGAAUUUUGGAAAUGGGCGCAAGCCUGAUCCAGCAAUGCCGCGUGCAGGAUGAAGGCCUUCGGGUUGUAAACUGCUUUUGUACGGAACGAAAAGCCCUGGGUUAAUACCCUGGGGUCAUGACGGUACCGUAAGAAUAAGCACCGGCUAACUACGUGCCAGCAGCCGCAGUAAUAC
rnacentral:rRNA from 1 species